UACGAAGGGGGGCUAGCGUUGCUCGGAAUCACUGGGCGUAAAGGGUGCGUAGGCGGAUCUUUAAGUCAGGGGUGAAAUCCUGGAGCUCAACUCCAGAACUGCCUUUGAUACUGAGGAUCUCGAGUUCGGGAGAGGUGAGUGGAACUGCGAGUGUAAGAGGUGAAAUUCGUAGAUAUUCGCAAGAACACCAAGUGGCGAAGGCGACUUACUGGACACAUAUUGACGCUGAGGUGCGAAAG
rnacentral:rRNA from 1 species